AACGAACGCUGGCGGCAUGCCUAACACAUGCAAGUCGAACGAGACCUUCGGGUCUAGUGGCGCACGGGUGCGUAACGCGCGGGAACCUGCCCUUAGGUUCGGAAUAACUCCCCGAAAGGGGUGCUAAUACCGGAUAAUGUCUUCGGACCAAAGAUUUAUCGCCUUUGGAUGGGCCCGCGUUGGAUUAGCUAGUUGGUAGGGUAAAAGCCUACCAAGGCGACGAUCCAUAGCUGGUCUGAGAGGAUGAUCAGCCACACUGGGACUGAGACACGGCCCAGACUCCUACGGGAGGCAGCAGUGGGGAAUAUUGGACAAUGGGGGAAAGCCUGAUCCAGCAAUGCCGCGUGAGUGAUGAAGGCCGUAGGGUUGUAAAGCUCUUUUACCCGGGAUGAUAAUGACAGUACCGGGAGAAUAAGCGCCGGCUAACUCCGUG
rnacentral:rRNA from 1 species